GAGAUAUAUACUGUCUCAUAUAUAUUUGAUGAAUUUAAAUUUUUAGUAAAAAUGCUUAAAUAAUUUUAUGGGACGAUAAGACCCUAUAGAAUUUUAUAUUAAUAUUUUAUUAAUUAUUUAAUUAAAAUAUUAAUAUUUAAUUGGGAGGAUUAAUAAAUUUAAAAAACUUUAUUUUAAAAAUAAACUUUGAUUUUAGAGUUAAUUUUUGAUCUUUUAUUAUAAAUCAAAAGAAUAAAUUACCUUAGGGAUAACAGCGUAAUAUCUUUUUAAAGAUCAUAUUUAAAAAGAUGUUUGCGACCUCGAUGUUGAAUUAAGAUAAAUUUUAAACGGAGAAGUUUAAUAAUUAAGUCUGUUCGACUUUUAAAAUCUUACAUGA
rnacentral:rRNA from 1 species